CAACGGUAAAAAGCUUACAGAACCAGUUUGGGGUUGGAGCUGUUGGCUGUCCUUUCGGUUCGCUCUCAAGUUCUCGACUGAAUUUUUUUUACUGGUGUUGUUAGAUAAGUUGACAAUCUCCUGAUAUUUGCAAUGACACGAUAUAAGAGCAAUGUGAUAUGUGCAGUGCCGCAGUGCAGCGCCAGAACUCGACGUUGGAAGGUCAGCUUGCACAUGGUGCCGAAGGAACCAAAGCUCAGGAAGCGAUGGGAAAUAGCUAUCAGAACUGGGAAGAAGUUGACACCGAGCAUGAAGGUAUGCUCUCAACAUUUCAAGGAAGAGGACUUCAAGCCCACAGUGAGUUCCCGCAUGAAAAGGUACCUCAAAGAAGAUGCAGUUCCAUCUCUCAAUCUUCCUGUGAGAUCAUGUGACGGGCCGACAACAUCGGAAAGUGCAGCAAGGAGGGCAGAGAGGAUACAGAAGAGAGAACAAGGUUUUGAACAGCUUCCUCAUGCUGAAGAUGAUGAGGAACAAAGUGUCAAUAUCAUGGAUGAGUUACAUGAUGUGUUAAAACAGGACAUCGGAGUGCAAGUGUCAUUGACUGAGAUGGUGUCUGCCGUCUGGUCGCUUGAACCUUUUUUCACUUCUUGAUUCAGAUCAAAAGUUGAGUGUUAUGACUGGCAUUCCAUCGUUUGAUAUCCUUUCUUCAUUAGAGAAACUGGUGCAGGUAGAGCUACCAUCUGUGCGAGAUGUGGAAAGGGGAAUCAUUGUGACAAUGAUGAGACUUAAAACAGGUCUUACAUUCACUGCUCUGGGUGUGCUCCUUGGCACUGAUAGGAGCACAUGCAGUAGACUCUUUGCCACAGUACUCCCUGUGCUAGCUGGUAUCAUGAAAGAUGUGUUGUCAUGGCCCACAAAAGACCAGGUUGCCAGGAACAUGCCAAAGUGCUUCCAUCAAUUUCGCAAAGUGCGGGUGGUCCUUGACUGUACUGAGGUAUCUGUGGAGAGGCCCAACUGCCUUGAUUGUCGCAUAUCAUCCUACUCUCACUAUCAUGGUGGUGAGAGUGUCAAAGUCAUGAUUGGUUGCUCCCCUGCUGGUACAAUCACUUUUGUGAGUGAUGCAUAUGGAGGGAAGGCAUCUGACAAAAAAAAUAUUCAAUGGCAGUGACCUUCUGGGGAAAUUAGAACCUUAUGUAGAUGCUGUCAUGGUUGACAAGGGCUUUAUGAUUGAUGAUGAAUGUUUAUUCAAUGCCAUUGAACUUGUCCGUCCUCCUUUUUUGAAGAGUAGCAAACAGCUGUCAGCCGCUGACGCGAAGCUAACCAAAAAGAUAGCCUGUGCCAGAGUCCACGUAGAGAGAGUCAUUCAAAGGGUGAAGCAGUAUAGUGUCUUAAAAAACAAGCUGCCCUGGAGCAUGAUGCCAUAUGUUAACCAUAUCUUCACAGUCAUUUGUGGACUCACCAACUUGUCACCGCCAAUCUUGGCAGAUGACAAGUUCUAGUGUCGCCUUGAUGCUGGUCAUGAUCACAUGAUGUGUCAGUGAGUACCUUGUUGUUUAUGGCACUCAGUGGUGUUUCAUUCACAUGAGAAAUACUACUGCUGGCAACUCUGACAUGCUGUGCUAUGAAUACAUUUGCAAUCAUGAG